rnacentral:rRNA from 2 species
AAGUCGUGCGAGAACGGUUCCUUCGGGAACCCAGUAAAGCGGCGAACGGGUGAGUAACACGUGAGCGAUCUGCCCGAGGAUGGGGGAUAGCCCAGGGAAACCUGGAUUAAUACCGCGUACAGCGCUGGGACUGGAUGCCCAGCGUAAAAGCUGGCCUCUUUACAAUGCUAGCGCCCUCGGAUGAGCUCGCGGCCUAUCAGCUUGUUGGUGGGGUAAUGGCCUACCAAGGCUACGACGGGUAGCUGACGUGAGAGCGUGAUCAGCCACAUUGGGACUGAGACACGGCCCAGACUCCUACGGGAGGCAGCAGUGGGGAAUAUUGCGCAAUGGGCGAAAGCUUGACGCAGCGACGCCGCGUGGGGGAGGAAGACCCUAGGGUUGUAAACCCCUGUCAGGUGGGACGAACUCCCUAUCGGAUAAUACUCGAUAGGACUGACGGUACCACCAGAGGAAGCUCCGGCUAACUCCGUGCCAGCAGCCGCGGUAAUACGGGGGGAGCAAGCGUUGUUCGGAAUUACUGGGCGUAAAGGGCGCGUAGGCGGCCUUGUAAGUCGGAUGUGAAAUGCCGGAGCUCAAAUCCGUGCAC